AGAGGAAGUCCGGUGCGAAUCCGGCGCGGUCCCGCCACUGUCACCGGGGAGCACCCGCCGCGCGGGUGCCCCGGGAGCCAGGAACUC
rnacentral:ncRNA from 1 species